rnacentral:tRNA from 1 species
AGUCGCGUGGAGCAGUGGUCAGCUCGUCGGGCUCAUAACCCGGAGGACGCGGGUUCGAGUCCCGCCGCGGCAACCA